GACGAACCGUCCAAACGUUACUCGGAAUCACUGGGCUUAAAGGGUGCGUAGGCGGCCUGGUAAGUUGGGUGUGAAAGCCCUCGGCUCAACCGAGGAAAUGCGCCCAAUACUGUCGGGCUUGAGGAAGAUAGAGGUGAGCGGAACUAAGGGUGGAGCGGUGAAAUGCGUUGAUAUCCUUAGGAACACCAGUAGCGAAAGCGGCUCACUGGGUCUUUUCUGACGCUGAGGCACGAAAGCUAGGGGAGCGAACGGG
rnacentral:rRNA from 1 species